rnacentral:rRNA from 1 species
UACGGGGGGAGCAAGCGUUGUUCGGAAUCACUGGGCGUAAAGGGAGUCUAGGCGGUUUGGUAAGUGGGAUGUGAAAUCCCCGGGCUCACCCCGGGACCUGCAUCCCAAACUGCUGAGCUUGAGUACAGGAGAGGGUGGGGGAAUUCCAGGUGUAGCGGUGAAAUGCGUAGAUAUCAGGAGGAACACCGGUGGCGAAGGCGGAUCUCUGGGCCUUGCCUGACGCUGAGGCGCGAAAGCUAGGGGAGCGAACAGG